CGCUCCUCUCCCUCAUCCCACGCACUUGUAGAUGGCACCGUCCCUCGCCGAGUUCGUCGUUGACCUAUGCCAUGUCUCCGCCGCCGCACUCAGGGACCACGGCGCCGACCCGCCGGAGCCGGACUACCUUGUCCGCUCCCUCCACACCGACAUCACUGCGCUUCCCUGCCUCCCAUGGUGCAGGUGCCCGGGGGCGUGUGGACAAGGCGCGGGGGGAGGGUCACCCGAGUGGGCGACGUCGGAUGCUUUGUUUGCCUCGACGGUGGACGCAAGGGACUCGUGCACGUCUCCCAGAUGCUCGGUCGACGCCGCGCUGGCGCCACCUUCACGCUCGGGCAGGUGUCCUUCAAGGUCGUCUUGGUGGACGGCGCCAAGCUAGGGCUGUCAAUGGUAGACGUCGAUCAGGAUAUAGGGAAGGGUCUUCAGUCGAUGCGACGUCGGCACCCUGUGGAGGAGGACGCGCUGAGGGCAAAUCCGCCAACUAAUCGCUCCAGACUCACCGGGAGGAGGAUGGCGGCAGAUCGAUGAGCGCACGCAGCUCGCCAGAUGAGGAUGGGACCACCGACGCCGACGGUGCGCCCCAGCCCCCAGCACGGUGAUGCAGGACACCGACACGAAGAGGUUCAGCCACCGGUCUGGCACCUCCCACAGUCCCUUGGCAUACAGCUUCAGCUCUGCCUUGUGCACGCGGUCCAACCGUCAUCACCGCUCUUGAUGCAUAGAAGUUCUCUGGUUAUUUUUUAUUGCAAUAUUUUCACAAUUCAUGGAAGAACGGUUCCAGUUGAGAUACUAUAUACAAAAGUAGACAGAGAGCGACGAUGCAGUGUUCACGAUAUGGCAGAUCCAUCUAACUGAACCCGAAGGAGAUAUCCUAUUGUUACUAACUUGCCAGGAAGAGAUCAAUCAUUCUGGUGAGCGUCUCCAUGAGAGGAUGAAGCCAUUCGGUGGGGAUAUACCAGAGCUAAUAAUUUGUCAUGUGUAUAGUGCUCUUCCUAAUGAAGUUCAGUCAAAGAUAUUCGAACCGGCUCCUGGAACUGCAGACAUGCCAAAUGGAAAUACUCAGGAUUAUCAAGCUGGACAUUCUUCUAUUCAUGGGCCACUGCCUCAUUUCUGCUAGAAUCCUUUGCAUAGUAUGCAAGCACCUCAAAUACAAGUGCCCUAUUAAGAGUUCAUCGGUAACAAUGUGGUAAAUGUGGUGCAUGGUUUAAAUCCUUCUGCCAUAGGUCUUCCUUUACAUCCAAGAAUGUUGGCUCUCCCAUUCAAUGUUGAACACACUUUUGGGCAUCUAAUGCACCCAGCUCUGAUGAACUAAGCUAACAAUGGGGCUUUAAGAAUUCUUCC